GGAUUGAUAAUAANCCCUUGNGNGUCUUUGUAGCAAUCCAAGGCAGACNGGNUCAGUAACGNGUAGUCCAUUUUACCCUNUGGACGGGAAUAACCUCGGGAAACUGAGAAUAAUGCCCGAUAGAACAUUAUGCCUGGAAUGGUUUAUGUUUCAAAUGAUUUAUCGCCAUAGGAUGGGACUGCGGCCUAUCAGUUUUGUUGGUGAGGUAAUGGCCCACCAAGACUAUUACAGGUACGGGCUCUGAGAGGAGUAGCCCGGAGAUGGGUACUGAGACACGGACCCAGGCCCUAUGGGGCGCAGCAGGCGAGAAAACUUUGCAAUGUGCGAAAGCACGACAAGGUUAAUCCGAGUGGUUUCUGCUAAGGAAACCUUUUGUCAGUCCUAGAAACACUAACGAAUAAGGGGUGGGCAAGUUCUGGUGUCAGCCGCCACGGUAAAACCAGCACCUCAAGUGGUCAGGAUGAUUAUUGGGCCUAAAGCAUUCGUAGCUCGUUUUGUAAGUUUUCGGUUAAAUCCAUGCGCUUAACGUAUGGGCUGCCGGGAAUACUGCAUAACUAGGAAGUGGGAGAGGUAGACGGUACUCGGGAGGAAGGGGUAAAAUCCUUUGAUCUCUUGAUGACCACCUGUGGCGAAGGCGGUCUACCAGAACACGUUCGACGGUGAGGGAUGAAAGCUGGGGGAGCAAACCGGAUUAGAUACCCGGGUAGUCCCAGCUGUAAACUAUGCAAACUCAGUGAUGCAUUGGCUUAUGGCCAAUGCAGUGCUGCAGGGAAGCCGUUAAGUUUGCCGCCUGGGAAGUACGUACGCAAGUAUGAAACUUAAAGGAAUUGGCGGGGGAGCACCACAAGGGGUGAAGCCUGCGGUUCAAUUGGAGUCAACCGCCGAAAC
rnacentral:rRNA from 1 species